rnacentral:rRNA from 1 species
CACAUGGGGGACCUGAUGCUUGACGCCGCGUGGAGGACGAAGGAUUUAGGUCUGUAAACUCCUUUUAUCGGGAAAGACUUAGGACGGUACCCGAUGAAUAAGCACCGGCUAACUACGUGCCAGCAGCCGCGGUAAGACGUAGGGUGCAAGCGUUGUCCGGAUUUACUGGGCGUAAAGAGCGCGUAGGCGGUCUGUUAAGUGUAGAGUGAAAGCUCCGGGCUCAACCUGGAAACUGCUCUGCAUACUGGCAGACUGGAGGAAUGGAGAGGUUUGUGGAAUUCCUGGUGUAGCGGUGAAAUGCGUUGAUAUCAGGAGGAACACCCAUGGCGAAGGCAGCAAACUGGCCAUUAUCUGACGCUGAGGCGCGAAAGCGUGUGUAGCAAACAGGAUUAGAUACCCUGGUAGUCCACGCCCUAAACGAUGGAUACUAGACGUAAGAGGUAUCGACCCCUCUUGUGUCGCAGCUAACGCAUUAAGUAUCCCGCCUGGGGAGUACGGCCGCAAGGUUGAAACUCAAAUGAAUUGACGGGGACCCGCACAAGCGGUGGAGCAUGUGGAUUAAUUCGAUACUAACCGAAGAACCUUACCCAGGUUUGACAUCGAUUGUAACGCCCUGAAAGGGGCGCCUCCCCCACAAGGGGACCUGAAGACACUUGUUGCAUGGCUGUCGUCAGCUCGUGCCGUGAAGUGUCGGGUAAGUCCGCCAAGAGCG